AAGAGGAUUGCUUGAGGCCAGGAGUUCAAAGCCAGCCUGGCAACAUAGCAAGACUCUACU
rnacentral:precursor_RNA from 1 species